GACGAACCGUGCGAACGUUGUUCGGAAUCACUGGGCUUAAAGGGCGCGUAGGCGGGCUGCCAAGUCUGGGGUGAAAUCCUCCGGCUCAACCGGAGAACGGCCUCGGAUACUGGCGGUCUCGAGGGAGGUAGGGGCGUGCGGAACUAAGGGUGGAGCGGUGAAAUGCGUUGAUAUCCUUAGGAACUCCGGUGGCGAAGGCGGCACGCUGGACCUCUUCUGACGCUGAGACGCGAAAGCGUGGGGAGCGAACAGG
rnacentral:rRNA from 1 species